rnacentral:tRNA from 1 species
GCACCGGCGGGUUGCGUGGCCAUAACGUUGGCUCGUCGAGCCGACGGGCCUCGGCCGGCAAGGUCAUGCCGUCGUUCAGUUCGACCCCUGUACGC